rnacentral:rRNA from 1 species
UACAGAGGUCUCGAGCGUUGUUCGGAUUCAUUGGGCGUAAAGGGCGCGUAGGCGGCGGGGUAAGUCUGGUGUGAAAUCUAGGAGCUCAACUCCUAAACUGCACUGGAUACUGCUCUGCUAGGGGACUGGAGAGGAGACUGGAAUUCACGGUGUAGCAGUGAAAUGCGUAGAUAUCGUGAGGAAGACCAGUGGCGAAGGCGGGUCUCUGGACAGUUCCUGACGCUGAGGCGCGAAGGCCAGGGGAGCGAACAGG